ACUGCUCAGUAACACGUGGAUAACCUGCCCUGCGGUGGGAAAUAACCCCGGGAAACUGGGGAUAAUGUCCCAUAGGCUACGGAUGCUGGAAUGCUCUGUAGCUCAAAGAUUUAUCGCCACAGGAUGGGUCUGCGGCCGAUUAGGUAGUUGUUGGGGUAACGGCCCAACAAGCCUUUGAUCGGUACGGGUUGUGGGAGCAAGAGCCCGGAGAUGGAUUCUGAGACACGAAUCCAGGCCCUACGGGGCGCAGCAGGCGCGAAAACUUUACAAUGCGGGAAACCGUGAUAAGGGAACUCCGAGUGUCCGUCAAUGCGGACUGUCCGUAUGUUUAAAAAGCAUGCGAAGAAAGGGCCGGGCAAGACCGGUGCCAGCCGCCGCGGUAAUACCGGCGGCUCGAGUGGUGGCCACUAUUACUGGGCUUAAAGCGUUCAUAGCUGGGUUGUUAAGUCUCUUGGGAAAUCUACCGGCUUAACCGAUAGGCGUCCAAGGGAUACUGGCAAUCUAGGGACCGGGAGAGGUGAGGGGUACUUCAGGGGUAGGAGUGAAAUCCUGUAAUCCUUGGGGGACCACCUGUGGCGUAGGCGCCUCACCAGAACGGCUCCGACAGUGAGGGACGAAAGCUGGGGGAGCAAACCGGAUUAGAUACCCGGGUAGUCCCAGCCGUAAACGAUGCGCGUUAGGUGUAUCGAUGACCACGAGUCAUCGAGGUGCCGAAGGGAAACCGUGAAGCGAGCCACCUGGGAAGUACGGCCGCAAGGCUGAAACUUAAAGGAAUUGGCGGGGGAGCAC
rnacentral:rRNA from 1 species